GAAUUCGCCCUUAGAGUUUGAUCCUGGCUCAGGACGAACGCUGGCGGCGCGCCUAACACAUGCAAGUCGAACGAGCGAGAGAGAGCUUGCUUUCUCAAGCGAGUGGCGAACGGGUGAGUAACGCGUGAGGAACCUGCCUCAAAGAGGGGGACAACAGUUGGAAACGACUGCUAAUACCGCAUAAGCCCACGACCCGGCAUCGGGUAGAGGGAAAAGGAGCAAUCCGCUUUGAGAUGGCCUCGCGUCCGAUUAGCUAGUUGGUGAGGUAACGGCCCACCAAGGCGACGAUCGGUAGCCGGACUGAGAGGUUGAACGGCCACAUUGGGACUGAGACACGGCCCAGACUCCUACGGGAGGCAGCAGUGGGGAAUAUUGCACAAUGGGGGAAACCCUGAUGCAGCGACGCCGCGUGGAGGAAGAAGGUCUUCGGAUUGUAAACUCCUGUUGUUGAGGAAGAUAAUGACGGUACUCAACAAGGAAGUGACGGCUAACUACGUGCCAGCAGCCGCGGUAAAACGUAGGUCACAAGCGUUGUCCGGAAUUACUGGGUGUAAAGGGAGCGCAGGCGGGAAGACAAGUUGGAAGUGAAAUCCAUGGGCUCAACCCAUGAACUGCUUUCAAAACUGUUUUUCUUGAGUAGUGCAGAGGUAGGCGGAAUUCCCGGUGUAGCGGUGGAAUGCGUAGAUAUCGGGAGGAACACCAGUGGCGAGGGCGGCCUACUGGGCACCAACUGACGCUGAGGCUCGAAAGUGUGGGUAGCAAACAGGAUUAGAUACCCUGGUAGUCCACGCCGUAAACGAUG
rnacentral:rRNA from 1 species